rnacentral:rRNA from 1 species
UACGGGGGGGUGAAGCGUUGUUCGGAAUUACUGGGCGUAAAGGCUCGUAGGCGGCCAACUAAGUCAUACGUGAAUCCUCAGCUUACUGGGACUGCGUGUGAUACUGGAUGGCUUGGAUUUGGGAGAGGGAUGCGGAAUUCCAGGUGUAGCGGUGAAAUGCGUAGAUAUCUGGAGGAACACCGGUGGCGAAGGCGGCAUCCUGGACCAAUAUUGACGCUGAGGAGCGAAAAGCCAGGGGAGCCAAAGCGGG